AUGUUUACCACACAUAUCCAACUACGUGUGCGAUGUUGGUGAUCGCGUUCUGCGAUUGUCCCGCGUACUACGUGCACAAUGGCGUAA
rnacentral:rRNA from 1 species